rnacentral:rRNA from 1 species
GGCGGACGGGUGAGGUAACGCGUGGGUAACCUGCCUCAUACAGGGGGAUAACAGUUAGAAAUGACUGCUAAUACCGCAUAAGACCACAGCACCGCAUGGUGCAGGGGUAAAAACUCCGGUGGUAUGAGAUGGACCCGCGUCUGAUUAGGUAGUUGGUGGGGUAACGGCCUACCAAGCCGACGAUCAGUAGCCGACCUGAGAGGGUGACCGGCCACAUUGGGACUGAGACACGGCCCAAACUCCUACGGGAGGCAGCAGUGGGGAAUAUUGCACAAUGGGGGAAACCCUGAUGCAGCGACGCCGCGUGAGCGAUGAAGUAUUUCGGUAUGUAAAGCUCUAUCAGCAGGGAAGAAAAUGACGGUACCUGACUAAGAAGCACCGGCUAAAUACGUGCCAGCAGCCGCGGUAAUACGUAUGGUGCAAGCGUUAUCCGGAUUUACUGGGUGUAAAGGGAGCGUAGACGGAGUGGCAAGUCUGAUGUGAAAACCCGGGGCUCAACCCCGGGACUGCAUUGGAAACUGUCAAUCUGGAGUACCGGAGAGGUAAGCGGAAUUCCUAGUGUAGCGGUGAAAUGCGUAGAUAUUAGGAGGA